ensembl:lncRNA
AUUUGGUCUCUGGAGCGCUCGGGUGCUUUAGUCUUCAUUAAGGGGAGUUCCUUGUUGAUCAAUCACUGUCGCUUGGGCUUCUCUGUAAUUGCGGGCUUCCUUAAUCAUGACAGACAUCUCAUCCUCUUCAUUGUCACACAGGUCUCAGGAGAGAGAAUGUUCCAUGACUUUCACACCUUCAACCUCAAGCUCUUGAAUCAUUGGGACAGUUGCUUGGGUGCUUGAAGGUAGGCUAGUGUGUUUUGUCGUGUUCGUGUUGAUGUGAUAGUGAUCUCAAAUGCAAUUUGCAGAUACACAUCAUGAUGGUCCAUAAGUCACAUUGAUUCCUACAGAAACGUCAACCUUUGGUUGACACUAAGUUCAUUAUAAUGACUCAUAGAGACUGACAAAGCUGGCAUGUACAUUGUCAUGUGACAGUGAGUGAGGGUGUGUUUUUGUCAAGUCAAGUCAAAUUGUCACAUACACAUGUUUAGCAGAUGUUAUUGUGGG